rnacentral:other from 1 species
UUACCUGGGAUGUUCGACAACUCCUAUUGUUUUGAACCUACAUUUACUUUAAACGGGAUUCCUACAUUGCCGAUUGGAUGUCACGCCCCCAUAGUCAGGGGAAGGCAGAAGAGAGGUUGCGGUUACCCACCUAGCAUGGCUAGGAGUCAAAAGAUAGGAACCGGCAUUUUGGGGAU